ACACAAAGGGAUUUCCUCUGGCCCUAAAAAUUGGAUUCAGGAAUGAACAUUUGACCUUACCUGAUGCCAGUAAAACCUACUUAGAUUUUGGCUAGGUCUUUUAUUUUUAUUUUUAUUUUUUAUUGAAGUAUAGUUGAUUUAUAAUGUUAGUUUCAGGUAUACAGCAAAGUGAUUCAGUUGUACAUAUACAUACAUAUUAUAUUUUCUUUCAGAUUCUUUUCCAUGGUAUGUUAUUAUAAAAAAUUGGAUUGAGUUCCCUGUGCUAUACAGUAGGUUCUUGUUUAUCUACUUUAUAUGCAGUAGUGUGCUUAUGUUAAUCCCCAUUCUCCCUGCCUUUCCCCUUUGUAACCAUAGUUUGUUUUCUAUGCCCAUGAGUCUGUUUUUGGUUUGUAAGUAGAAUUUGUAUCACUUUUCUUUAGAUUCCACAUAUAAGUGAUAUCAUGUGAUAUUUGUCUUUCUCUGUCUGACUCACAUGGCUGGGUCUUUUAAAAGAGAGGCUUCUUGUCUUUUUGGCCAAGGUCAAUGCCUAUCAUUGUAGAAAAUGAUCCACUGAAUCCUCGAAUAAAGCCAGUGGUGAGGAGUGAAAAAUGGAGCAAAACUAAUUCCUAACUACAUAAAUUGGAAUAAACUAAACAUGAAGGUAGAUACCCAAAUAAAUCUCAGUCAUUUGAAUAAAUAAGUUCAAUUUGACAUAGGUCAUUUUGGGUUGAGUCUUCCAUCACUUGUAAAUCUUGAUGUAACUGACAUGUCUCAUCUGUUCGAUCACCAUCAAUGUCAGUUCCAGUAUUUGUGCUCAUUGGACACCUGAUAGCUGUUGCUUUAACAGUGGCCUGUGCGCGUACCACAUCAUGGCGAAGUUUGAUGGGUGUCUAUAAUUUCAUGAGCGCAAGAAAGGUGGACAUGUUGUGUUGGGAUAUGAAGCUAGUUAUGGAGCAGAUACACAGGACAGCACACUCACACUCAAAGAGGAAACUGCUGUAAGGAGAGGCUGGGGCGAGUGCAUUGCCUAAAAAGUUGUCUGGUUUGUUUUCCUUCCAUACUGCACACGUUCAUCAAGUGUGGCCAUUCAAAACAUGUAUGUUCUGCAACAGUAACGGUGGUCCCUCUCCUCCCAGCAGGAAGUAAGCUAAUAGCCGACAGAGAAGCAGCAGAAACGGGCACCAAGGUGGAGGGGGGAGGGGACACAAACGUGCCACUUGUCUUUGAGAGAGCGUGAGGGUAGGAGUUGAUGCUGACAGAACAGUAAACCGCCCGGUUCAUAGCUUGCUACAGCUCUGUCAUGUUAUCCUCUCAUUUCUGUGGGUUAUGAUAAUUAGGUCUUAGGUUUCUUGUCCUUGAUCGGUACCAAGAUAUUCAACUAGCAUGUAUUUGUUUAAUGGAAUACAGGAAUACGCUAUUGAGAAACUAUUGCUCUGUACACAUAUCCAUGUCUACGUGUGAUCCCUCUGCUGUGGAUUUACAAGGGAAAACUGAGCACAUAUCCUUUUCCACCUAAUUGUUUUUAUUCUCCACACUCAUCAGCCUCACAAGAUAUAAUAAGUACUGUGUGUCUGGGUGUGUGAACGUGGGUUUCAAAAAGAUUGAGGAGAAUUUUCUGAGUUGGGGGUGGGAGAGGUUGGCAAAGGACACCAGCCUGAGAAAAUAUUUGGACAUUUUAGGUUUGAGGUCCAUCAAAUGGAGUGGACUAGGUUGCCUGACAUGCAGGAGAGCAUGGAUCUUCUGUGUUUGAGGAUUACAGAGGUGUGCACGAGUGCCUCUCUGUCAGGAGGAUCGAUAGGUCCACAGGUUCUGCUUUGAAUAGUACUGGAAUCUACUGCUCACAGGACCAUUUGAUUUCACUCAAUUGUUUCUUGACUUCAUAGUCAACUCACAGGCUGGGUUCAAAUGAAUUGGGAGAAUAAUGAACACUUUCCUAUUGAUUCAUCAUUCUGGGAAACCUAUCACAAGAGAUGAAGAUGAAGGGCCCCUCUUUUAUGGGGCUGAUGAAAGAUAGCUUUCUCUACUCCUUUGUAAUAGUCACUUCUUUCUGGCUUCUAUAAAAUAAUGAAUGUAUUUUCUUUUCAUGAACAGCUCUGUGUUUAUUAAAAGAAAAAAAUUAAGAAAUUAAGUCGAUAAUGUAUUCAUAAAGUCUCAUGUGUGAGUUCCAUAUUUCUAAAUGAAGCCAUAGGUAUAAUAAAAAUGCAACCAUUUUUGAAAUUAA